GAUGAACGCUGGCGGCGUGCCUAACACAUGCAAGUCGAGCGAUUUACUUCGGUAAAGAGCGGCGGACGGGUGAGUAACGCGUGGGUAACCUGCCUCAUACACAUGGAUAACAUACCGAAAGGUAUGCUAAUACAAGAUGAUAUAAGAGAUUCGCAUGGAUUUCUUAUCAAAGCUUUUGCGGUAUGAGAUGGACCCGCGUCUGAUUAGCUAGUUGGUAAGGUAACGGCUUACCAAGGCGACGAUCAGUAGCCGACCUGAGAGGGUGAUCGGCCACAUUGGAACUGAGACACGGUCCAAACUCCUACGGGAGGCAGCAGUGGGGAAUAUUGCACAAUGGGCGAAAGCCUGAUGCAGCAACGCCGCGUGAGCGAUGAAGGCCUUCGGGUCGUAAAGCUCUGUCCUCAAGGAAGAUAAUGACGGUACUUGAGGAGGAAGCCCCGGCUAACUACGUGCCAGCAGCCGCAGUAACAC
rnacentral:rRNA from 1 species